AACGAACGCUGGCGGCAGGCCUAACACAUGCAAGUCGAGCGCCCCGCAAGGGGAGCGGCGGACGGGUGAGUAACGCGUGGGAACGUACCCUUUGCUACGGAAUAGCCUCGGGAAACUGGGAGUAAUACCGUAUGUGCCCUUGGGGGAAAGAUUUAUCGCCAAAGGAUUAGCCCGCGUUGGAUUAGAUAGUUGGUGGGGUAAUGGCCUACCAAGUCUACGAUCCAUAGCUGGUUUGAGAGGAUGAUCAGCAACACUGGGACUGAGACACGGCCCAGACUCCUACGGGAGGCAGCAGUGGGGAAUCUUAGACAAUGGGCGCAAGCCUGAUCUAGCCAUGCCGCGUGGACGAUGAAGGCCUUAGGGUUGUAAAGUCCUUUCAGAUGGGAAGAUAUUGACGGUACCAUCAGAAGAAGCCCCGGCUAACUCCGUG
rnacentral:rRNA from 1 species